rnacentral:tmRNA from 1 species
CGUCACAUUGGCCUUGAAACAAGGCGCCUUCGGCCCCAUAAUUGCCGUACGGUUGUAAUUCCGGCAAUCUGGAGGCGUUCUGGACGCGGGUUCGAUUCCCGCCACCUCCACCUAAGGGUUUCGCAGAGUUCUUAGGUGGGGGUGCACUGGUUUCGACAGGGCGGACAAAGGUGCGCAGGCAACCCGUCAGGCGAUCGACGUUAAUGAAGCAAAUUCUCAAACGCCAACGAUGAGCGUUUUGCACUGGCCGCUUAAGGCCUAUGCCGAGGCUGCUUGAGCCUUGUUACCAAAGAAAAGCCGGUGGGGACUUCGGUCCCCAUCGUCA